rnacentral:rRNA from 1 species
UACGGGGGGGGCAAGCGUUGUUCGGAAUUACUGGGCGUAAAGGGCUCGUAGGCGGCCAACUAAGUCGGACGUGAAAUCCCCAGGCUCAACCUGGGAACUGCGUCCGAUACUGGAUGGCUUGAAUUCGGGAGAGGGAUGCAGAAUUCCAGGUGUAGCGGUGAAAUGCGUAGAUAUCUGGAGGAAUACCGGUGGCGAAAGCGGCAUACCAGCAUUGUACUGACGCUCAUGUACGAAAGCGUGGGGAGCAAACGGG